rnacentral:rRNA from 1 species
UCAUGACUGGGGUGAAGUCGUAACAAGGUAACCGUAGGGGAACCUGCGGUUGGAUCACCUCCUUACCUUAAAGAAGCG